GGAACUCAACCCGCCAAGUCAAUCCCAGAGGAAUAACAAGAUAAGAAGUAAAACGAUCCACUAAACAUAACUCACAACCACACUGCACUGACAUAGGGACUUUGAUAGAAGUGUCCCGCACUGGGCCCCCCCUUCCUUGGUCCGAAGGCUCCUAUAGAUACAAUUUUAUUCGGACCCCAAUGACCACACACUUUAUUUACACACUUACCUCAUUCAAUCCCCUUCCACUGAAAGGUUCACACCAACAUCAUUAUUUUAAUAUUACUACAUUAAACAAACAUAAUUAUUUAUUAAGGAUUAAAAAUGGUGGUAAAUGAAUUAAUAAAUUUUGAUUCUAUCGAUAUAUUCUUCUUUUUCUAGACUAAUAACUUAAUAUAUUAUAACAUGUAAAUUUUCCUUCUUUUAUAUGUAGCUACCACAUUAGAAAACAAUACUAGUUUCUUUUCAUUAACGUUGGCUCACUCUGGAGUUAACCAUAGAUCAAACGCCCUUAGUCCUGCAAUACGAUUCGCCUCUUAGUUUGGCGCUUUUGCUAACUCAAUCUAACCUCGACUAAUGGAGCUCGAUUAGGCGGAAUAGCAACCACUUUAUUGCUACCAAAACACACAAAUAAUCACAGACUUAUCGUAGUCAUCAAAUUAUAACAAUGGUUUUUCUACACCAGUACAUAUAGACGGACACACAGUUACGACAAGUCUUUUUACCUUAAUUUACACGGCAAAUUUCUGAUUGGUUUGAGCUUUUCUCUUGUUUUAGAGGGACUGUAACAGCGGGAGGGGAAGCGCCAGGCGAAAUCUUCUUAGAUGGAAACUUCGCAGUCGAGCUUUAAUCAUAUAUCUCCCAACGGCCAAACUUCCUCGUGGGAUACAACUCUAACGCCAGCAACACUUUUAACAUAAAUCGGAUUCACACGGCAAAAGUACUUGCAAAUCUGCUGGGCACAACACUUCACCAAAGAGGCACUCUGCUCGUUGAUCAAACCAGAAAAAAAUAAUGACACUGGCCUCCGUCCACUCUACAAGGAAGGCCAGUGCAGUUCCAAAUUUUGUUUAUCUAUACGAAGAAAAUAGAAACCAAACACCACGAAACAUUCACUACAUCGGUCAAACAUCCACUUUUACUUUGGCUACUCACAUUGUAUGAUACACAAAUAAAAGUUCACACACAAAGUC